rnacentral:rRNA from 1 species
UACGUAGGCAGCGAGCGUUGUUCGGAGUUACUGGGCGUAAAGGGUGUGUAGGCGGUUCUUUAAGUUUGGUGUGAAAUCUCCCGGCUCAACCGGGAGGGUGCGCCGAAUACUGAGGGACUAGAGUGCGGGAGAGGAAAGUGGAAUUCCUGGUGUAGCGGUGAAAUGCGUAGAUAUCAGGAGGAACACCGGUGGUGUAGACGGCUUUCUGGACCGUAACUGACGCUGAGACGCGAAAGCGUGGGGAGCAAACAGG